AGCCGCGGUAAUACGAAGGGACCUAGCGUAGUUCGGAAUUACUGGGCUUAAAGAGUUCGUAGGUGGUUGAAAAAGUUGGUGGUGAAAUCCCAGAGCUUAACUCUGGAACUGCCAUCAAAACUUUUCAGCUAGAGUUUGAUAGAGGAAAGCAGAAUUUCUAGUGUAGAGGUGAAAUUCGUAGAUAUUAGAAAGAAUACCAAUUGCGAAGGCAGCUUUCUGGAUCAUUACUGACACUGAGGAACGAAAGCAUGGGUAGCGAAGAGGAUUAGAUACCCUCGUAGUCCAUGCCGUAAACGAUGUGUGUUAGACGUUGGAAAUUUAUUUUCAGUGUCGCAGCGAAAGCGAUAAACACACCGCCUGGGGAGUACGACCGCAAGGUUAAAACUCAAAUGAAUUGACGGGGACCCGCACAAGUAGUGGAGCAUGUGGUUUAAUUCGAAGAUACGCGCAGAACCUUACCAACACUUGACAUGUUCGUCGCGACUUUAAGAGAUUAAAGUUUUCGGUUCGGCCGGACGAAACACAGGUGCUGCAUGGCUGUCGUCAGCUCGUGUCGUGAGAUGUUGGGUUAAGUCCCGCAACGAGCGCAACCCUCACUUUUAGUUGCCAUCAUUAAGUUGGGCACUCUGAAAGAACUGCCAGUGAUAAGCUGGAGGAAGGUGGGGAUGACGUCAAGUCCUCAUGGCCCUUACGUGUUGGGCUACACACGUGCUACAAUGGUAUUUACAAAAGGAAGCAAGACGGCGACGUUUAGCAAAUCCUUAAAAAAUACCUCAGUUCGGAUUGCACUCUGCAACUCGAGUGCAUGAAGCUGGAAUUACUAGUAAUCGUGGAUCAGCGUGCCACGGUGAAUGCGUUCCCGGGUCUUGUACACACCGCCCGUCACACCAUGGGAGUUGGUUCUACCUUAAGGCAAGGUUUUAAACCCUUGACCACGGUAUAGUCAGCGACUGGGGUGAAGUCGUAACAAGGUAGCCGUAGGGGAACCUGCGGCUG
rnacentral:rRNA from 1 species